CUCCCUACUCUGAUCAGUGAAACUAAUCUCCCCGUGAAGAAGCGGGGAUACAAAUAUAAGACGAGAAGACCCCAUGGAGCUUUAAACCCUGCAACACCUCAACUCUACAAAACCUUUAUAUCCGUUUGAGCCCUGGUUGCACGUUUUAGGUUGGGGUGACCACGGAGUACAAAUUAACCUCCAUGAAGAAUGGAUUUCAUUUCCUUAUCUCAGAAGUACACUUCUAAGAAUUAGUAAACUAACUUUUAAUGAUCCGAUUAUCGAUCAACGAACCAAGUUACCCUGGGGAUAACAGCGCAAUCCACUUCAAGAGCUCCUAUCGACAAGUGGGUUUACGACCUCGAUGUUGGA
rnacentral:rRNA from 1 species